UGGCGGACGGGUGAGGUAACGCGUGGGUAACCUGCCUUACACAGGGGGAUAACACCUGGAAACAGGUGCUAAUACCGCAUAAGCGCACAGGGCCGCAUGGCCCGGUGUGAAAAACUCCGGUGGUGUAAGAUGGACCCGCGUCUGAUUAGCUUGUUGGCGGGGUAGGGGCCCACCAAGGCGACGAUCAGUAGCCGGCCUGAGAGGGUGGACGGCCACAUUGGGACUGAGACACGGCCCAAACUCCUACGGGAGGCAGCAG
rnacentral:rRNA from 1 species